AGAUAUAUGCCCAGGAGUGGGAUUGCUGGAUCAUACGGGCCCAAGAACCAGGCUUGAGGAAUAUGCAGCUAAAUUACAGCACCAGGAUGCUUCAGGAAUUUAACUGCACCACUGACUCUGGAGGUGGGACCCUUUGUCACUGCCCCUCUGAAAGCUGGAUGUCCCUCUGCCACAAGCCACGACCCUCAGUGGGAUGGAUUUUUUUCAUGGACACCUCUUUCUUCUUGUCACUCUUUGGAGUCAAAAUUUUAUAAGAGUGACUCUGACUGGUGGAACAUACAUCUCAUAUCCAUGCCCCAGCUGCGAGAGAAAGUGGAAAAACAAGUUGGUGACUUCUAACUUAGGAACAGAGAAAUUUUGCAAACAUAAAGAGGCUGUUCAUAAGCUCAUGGGCAGGGGAAAAGUGUAACAAAGUUGAAAACAAUUGUGCAAUGCUUUAAUGUGUAAAUGUUUCAUAGUAGACUUAAUUUCUUGAUUGUUGAAAAUAUGGGCCACUUAAGAUAUUUUUUAGUCAUCUUGAUUGAGGUCUAAUUUACAGACAACUGAAAUGGGCCCUUUCAUGAGUCCUGACCAACUCAUAAAACCAUGGAGGAGCCACCAUAUUCAAGAUAAAGAAUAGUUUCAUCACCCUGCGAAGUCCCCUCACAUGCCACCUCAUAGUCAGUCCCUCCCCCUGCCCCCAGCUGCAGGUAACCAAUGAUCUCUUUUAGCCCCGUAGGUUUCCCUCCCCAGAAUGUCACAGUGGGCACCCUUUUCCCACUCUGCCUAAUUACUUUGAGACUCAUCCAGGCUACUGCACGUGUCAGCAGCGCUGUCCUUUUUGCUGUCAAGUAGAACUCUGUCACACAGAGGUACAGCUUGUGCACCCAUCCACCAGCUGGGGCACAUUUGGGUCAUUGUCCAGUUUGUGACAGUUAUUAAUAAAUAAUUCCCACUAUAGACAUGGGAA